GCCUUGAGAACAAAUGAGAAAAAAAAAAUAGAGCAUUCGUUCGAUUCGUUAUAGUGGAAGAAAAGCAGAGAGACAGACAGCAGGGGAAGACCCCUAAAGGAGGCACAAAAUCAUCCAUCUAUGCAAGAGUUAUUUUCGGUUUUAAGUUAAAUAUUUAUUUGGGUAAUGUAAUGCACAAAUUACAGAAUUUGUUUGCUGGCAAAGCGGGUAAAAUAUCUUUUUGUUUUGUUAAGCACGAUUUAAAAAUCUAUUUUCCAAAUAUAUAAGAAUGUAUAUAAAUAUAUAGUUCAUGUACUAAUAUUUUAGACGAUUACUUUGAUUUACUUAGUGGCUA
rnacentral:sRNA from 1 species